rnacentral:misc_RNA from 1 species
GAACUAAGAAGCCUUUAGCUAAUAAGAAGAGUUUCCCAUUAGUUCUCCCUUGGGAAGAAGGAGUGGAAUUGGGAAUUCGCUUUCUUUGGGUUGAAAGCGUGUUGCAGGCUUGAAACUGCUUUUCCGACAUUGAAUGCUUCAAUUGCAUAAGAGAAGACAGGAUAGAAAUAGAAAAUAGGGUCCUUGUUACCCUCCAAAGAAGAAGAGGAAGAGAGCUAGGAUAAGAAGAAAUGAGAAAAGAAUCCCAUUUCUACUACUUUAUCUGCGCUCCUGGCGCGAGACCCUUUCGCAUAGAAUGGUAUUCAGAGGGCCCAUA